rnacentral:snRNA from 1 species
AGCUUUGCGCAGUGGCAGUAUUGAAGCCAAUGAGGUUUAUCUGAGGUUUGAUUAUUGCUAAAUGGAUUUUCCACAUAAAAAAUCAUAUAAAAGAUGUUUUUACUUGCUAUUCCCACUGCCUAGAA